rfam:Ovis aries breed Texel chromosome 3, whole genome shotgun sequence.
UCCCUGGUGGCUUAGACGGUAAAGCGUCUGCCUACAAUCUGGGAGACCCAGGUUCAAUCCCUGGGUUGGGAA